GAUGAACGCUAGCUACAGGCUUAACACAUGCAAGUCGCGGGGCAGCAUGGGGGUUGCUUGCAAUCCCCGAUGGCGACCGGCGCACGGGUGAGUAACGCGUAUCCAACCUGCCCUUCACCACGGGAUAACCCGGCGAAAGUCGGACUAAUACCGUAUGUUGUCCAUUGACGGCAUCCGAUUUGGACGAAAGGUUUGGCGGUGAAGGAUGGGGAUGCGUCCGAUUAGCUGGACGGCGGGGUGACGGCCCACCGUGGCGACGAUCGGUAGGGGUUCUGAGAGGAAGGUCCCCCACACUGGAACUGAGACACGGUCCAGACUCCUACGGGAGGCAGCAGUGAGGAAUAUUGGUCAAUGGGCGUAAGCCUGAACCAGCCAAGUAGCGUGCAGGAGGACGGCCCUAUGGGUGGUAAACUGCUUUUAUGCGGGGAUAAAGUGGCCCACGUGUGGGUUUUUGCAGGUACCGCAUGAAUAAGGACCGGCUAAUUCCGUG
rnacentral:rRNA from 1 species